GGGCCGGGCUCCUUCUCGCGGCUCCGGGGCCCGCACCUCCGGGGCGCUCGGUCCAACAGCGCCCCCACCCCCACCCCGGGGCAGGGCAGAAGGGGAGAAGGGAGCUUAGCGACACCCAGGCCAGAUGUAGAGAUGCAGAGAGAGAGAGGGGCAGAGACAGAGGGAGAAGCAGGCUCCAUGCAGGGAGCCCGACGUGGGACUCGAUCCCGGGACUCCAGGAUCACACCCCGGGCUGCAGGCGGCGCUAAACCCCUAAGCCACCGGGGCUGCCCGCGCACCGUGUUUUCAUAGCAGAGUCCGCGGCCAAGCAGCCAUAGCACACCUGCCACGUCAGAAUGCCUUUGCACACACCUGCAGUGAGGGGUCAGGAACGAGCCCCUCCCUUCACCAGCCUCCCCGGCAAAGAGCUGACUGGAGUCAGACACCUGAGCCAAGCCCAGUGAGGCAGAAGUGUGAAGGGACUCUGGGUAACCUUCCCCUUUCUGGAUAUGUGGUCUUCACCGGUCAAUCAGGAAUUUCCCGGUCAGCACCAGUGAGGAAAUCUGUCAUGGGGGUCCUCUCUGUCCCCCAAAGGAAGAUGAGGACGAGCAAGGAGGUGCAGGGAGCAACUGGAGCUGGAGAGCAUUCCUGGAGGACAGAGAGCCCAUAAGGCCAAUGUGGUUGACCUGAGCAGGGGCUGAAGGCACAGUGGACAGGAUGAUGAGGUCAGAGGCAGGCAGAGAUCAGAUCUCGUGAGGUCUCAUGGGUCACUGUGAGGAGUUUGGACUUCAUCUCAAGGACCAUGGAAAGCCAGGGAAGGAUUUGAAGACAGUCAAUGACCUGAUCUGACCUUUGUUUUUAACAGACCUCUCUGGCUGGCUGAGAAGAAUAGGUCAAGGAUGCCCAGGAGGCAGGGCGGUGGGGAAUGGUGGAGUGGCAGUGGAAGUGGGGAGAAGUGGUCAGAUUUGGGAUAUAUUCUGGAAGACGGGCAGACAGGAAUUGCUGAUGCGGAGGAAGAUUCAAAGAAGGCCGUGGGGUGACUGCUGAUGAGUCAGCUCAUGUCCUGAGCAGUGGAGGCUUCCACGACCAGAAUCACUGACCGUCCUUUUGGCUGAGCUGGACACAUCCUGGAGACCUUCUAGUCUCCCUGCGAUUUUACACCCAUAGAGCCUCAGCCCAGGGGAGUGAGGAAACACGCCCAUGUCCUGGGUAAAAGCAGAGGUCCCCCAGCUCCCGGUCCAGAACCUGCCUGACCACGGGCUUCAUUUAUUUCUCGGGCAAACCAGUGAACCUGAAUAAAGGAAAUCUCAUUUGAAAUGGAGUCGGAAGGCCAGAAGGGGAAGCUCUCACCCUCUACCACUCCUCAUCAGUUGCAGAAGCAAUAGAAAGAGACAAUACCUUGCAUUCCACACAGAAAGAAGCCUGGACAUUAUUUUCUCUGCAUGAGGAAGGAAGAUUUUCUCCUGGUCUGGCAACAGCCCAGCCAAUGAGAGACUGUCACAACUCGGCCAGUGAAAAGCCACUACACUUACAACUCCCAGUUUCCUCCAAAGGAAUUUUUAUUAAAAACAGUCCUCAACUCCCUGCCCUUUCCUCUUUGUUCUUUCGUCUUUGUUCACUGGACUUGCCUAUGGUUUUGCCAUAGCUUGCAUGUCCUGAGUUGCAAUCCUCUGCUAUUCCUGAAUAAACCUGUUUUGCUGGUAAAAUAACUGACA